CGUGCGUCGGGGCAUGUGCGUUCGCUUUUGCUGCAGCGCAGAACGUGUUCCCUCCCAUCCUGAGCUCCUCCUCUCUUUCUCCUUUCUCAUCGUCAACCACCAAUCCGCUUUCUCGCUGCUUUGUCUCCGGCCGCCGGUAGCCGGCCUCCGGCCUCCCAGCCGCCCCAUCCCCACAACGAUGUUUCUCGAGGAGCAACGCGAGCGAGGCGAGCAGACGGAUUCCUCACUCGGAUGCCAGCGAGGAAGGCGGCUUGGAGCAGUCACCGUGACAUGUCUAUGGCUGCAUUUACGACGGGAUCGAAGCAAACGCCGCUCUUUUGUAUGUCCGUUCAAUCCUCCUCAGCCCCACCGAUGGCAUCCAUGACCUCGCAUCGCGUUGAUGCAGGCGCCGCCAUGGCUUUCAAGGUUGUGGAGAUCCCAGCAUGCAGUGGCUUGCUGACCUCGAGCACCACCCGCAACAACUCGUCUCUAAGGAACGACACAUCCGUGGCCGCGUCUCGCUGCUCCUCGUCUUGGGUGCGGGCUGAGGUUUGGAUGCUAUGUGCCAGAAUAUGGAAGUGCUGCGACCACUGUUGUCCCAGCUUGUGAGCUAUAAUGCUAAUUGGGCUUGUGAAAUUAAUUAUCCUUCUAUUGACUGGAUUAGGAAUACUUGCUCUUGCAUGUGACUUUUCACUACGUGAUUUGAGGAAGAUGUGUGGCCUUCAGACUCGGAGAAUUCUGGGUUUUCCAUUGAUCAUUUCUGCAGAGAUUGUCCUUCUGUGCAUUAUUUGGUAACCAUCUACUGCAGAUCAGCUAAUGCCCUGCAGCUUCUGCCCUUCAGGCAUGGAAAUACAUUUCAUAGGCAUAGCAAUGCUUAGUGUUUCACCCGAUGCAUUGACUUAAUAAAGUACACAGCCUGGUGAUCACUGAUUACUAUGGAUAUCAUAAGAGAAUAAUUUACAUCCAGACUGAACUCCAUGGCCGCAAAAUGUUCAUGGUUUCUUCAGCAUAUAUAUUCUCUAUACUAUGUAAUUCUCUGUUCAACCAAGUUAGCUUUGCAAGAGCAAAUAAAAGAUAAGUAUAGACUUUCAUAGAAAUAUUUCAUUGUUUAAUUUGGUGCUUCGCUGGUAAUCUCUAGAAUAUUUAAAUGUACGGCAAAAUUCUAGGUAUAUAUUGUCUAUGUUUCAAAUAAAUAUUUGGCCCACAUACUUUUGACAUUAUCUGUUCUCACAGAAGCCAUGAAAAUAUACAAACAACCCAUGUAAGCAGGAUUUUGUCUAAUUUUAUUAUGUUUCAUGCCAAUAAGUAGUUCUUCCUUCUCAUUAUCAAUUAAUAACUUGGUUACAAAGUAUGCGUGAAGAUUACUGCACCCACAUUAGCAAAAAAAAAAAGAGAUUACUGCACACAGAGAUUGCCUGGCAGACUAAAAUAAUUAUGGUUUGACCAUGUCAAAUUUUACGCUAAGCAAAUAUUUGCAUUUAGUACUUGGUUGAAAUGCUUGAUUUUCUUGGACACACACAUACACACACUACUUUUUCAAUUGUAUGCCUUUUAACAUGCUAAAUGAUUCUUCAAUAAUGGCUGCUUCCUGCUACACAUUGGUUGCAUCCAAACUGUGCAUAAUGUAUUAAUGUAUGAACCGAAGCUCAAAGUAAUAUCCAUACCGAUUGUAAAUUGGCUGCCAGUUCUCUUAUAUUCAAAUAAUCAGGGAAUCGAUCUUGCUAGAAGUAAUCAUUUAUGUGAUGAAUAUUUUCAGGAAACCUAUUACAAAGGUGGGGUCUUUCUAUUGUCUUUCACUGGCCAUAUGCAUCAUAAGAGUCUAGCCUGCAUCAAUGUGGAGUUGUGCUUGAAGUUUAAAGAGACCAGGCCCAGAAUGCAAAGGAGAUGGAAAAGUUUGACGACGUCUUUUUCGCUUUCAUGACUCAUCUACCUCAUGGUAUUUUAGAUCGUUUCUCGAGGGUUAUGGUCAUUUGUAAAAGGGAAGCCCGGUGCACGUGGCCUCCCGCUUGCGCAGGGUCUGGGGAAGGAUCCGACCGCUUUGGGUCUAUAGUACGCAGUCUUUUCCUACGUAUCUGUAAGAGACUAUUUCUAGGACUUGAACCUGUGCCCUCAUGGUCACAAGGCAAUAACUUUCUCGAGGGUUACGGUCAUUUGUACCAGACCAAAAAUCGUUUCACUAAUUUGGAGAUGUGAUCUUUCCAUUAUGCAGCUAAUAUAAGGGAAGUUUGAGUGAACUACGAAGCCAAAUAUAUAGCAUCAAAGAAAGGAAGGGGUGAGACCAUGAGAGAAAAUAAUAUCUUUUUUUGUUCCCAUAUCUUUCAGAAAGUCACAACUUGCUGUGGUGGAUGGGCAUAUGACAGACUCCCGUUAUGCCUUUUAUGUUGGUCCUGAAUGAAGUGUGAGCUAUCGUUAGAUUGUUUUCCUGGUACACAGUUGAUAUCUGCACUUACUACACAAUCAUCAUCAUGUUUUGCCGGUACAAAGUUGAUAUGUACACUUACUACACAAUCAUCAUGAUGUCCACCAAUGUUUAGAGCUGUCUGAAUCAUGUGAUUGCAAAGUAGGACUAAUACGGUAAUGAGUGGUAAAAUUGUUAAUCACCAAUGUUUUAUUUGUUGGUGUGUUAGGCACACAAGUAACUGGUUUAUCAUUUUUCACAAACCAAGCUGAGGCUUAGCUUCUGAUGUAUAUGGCCCCAACUCCAUAUUUUUAUUGUCAAGAAAAAUUAAGUACAAUGUUAAAUGUGCUGGUUCACAUGGCAAUUGCUCCAUUUCUUCAGAUAGGUCGUUUGGGUUUCAAACUACCGUGGAGAUAACUCAGCAGGCGAUCAACGUGGCACCUGUGGAGGCUGUGAGUGCUGUGAAUGGCGUCAGUCUUGUCAAACUUAUGGGCAGGAGCUCGGGCCACAUUACUUUUCAUGCCACCCUAAGCAGCCGAGAUGCUGGCUGCUAUUUGAACCCUGAGACUUAUUUCCACAUUGGAGGGGAGGAAGGCCUGUUUGAGUUCCUGAAUGAAAGGAUAAAGAAGAAGGGACAUGUUGUCAUCGUUGUUGUUGAAGGCGGUGAUCAGAAGUUGAUUCCCCGGACCGAUGACCAGAAAUGAGAGCAGGAUGAGUUUGACAACAUGUCGUUUCUUGCCGUUGGCCUUCUUCUAUAAAGUUUACAUGCAACUCUCCUGUAUGGUUAAAAAAACUACUAAUUGAAAUGUUGUUUCUUUGA